AGAUGGCGACCGGCGCACGGGUGAGUAACACGUAUCCAACCUGCCGAUAACUCGGGGAUAGCCUUCCGAAAGAAAGAUUAAUACCCGAUGGUAUAAUCAGACCGCAUGGUUUGAUUAUUAAAGAAUUUCGGUUAUCGAUGGGGAUGCGUUCCAUUAGCAGUUGGUGAGGUAACGGCUCACCAAACCUUCGAUGGAUAGGGGUUCUGAGAGGAAGGUCCCCCACAUUGGAACUGAGACACGGUCCAA
rnacentral:rRNA from 1 species